UGCCGGACGCGGAGUCAUCCAUCAAAA
rnacentral:sRNA from 1 species